CUUAAAUGUAGUCUGACAGGCGUGGAAACAUGCUUUUUCUUCGGACAGAUUUACAAGGUGCUGCAUGGUUGUCGUCAGCUCGUGCCGUGAGGUGUCAGGUUAAGUCCUAUAACGAGCGCAACCCCUGUUGUUAGUUGCCAGCGAGUAAUGUCGGGAACUCUAGCAAGACUGCCGGUGCAAACCGUGAGGAAGGUGGGGAUGACGUCAAAUCAUCACGGCCCUUACGUCCUGGGCCACACACGUGCUACAAUGGCCAGUACAGAGAGCAGCCACUUGGCGACAAGGAGCGAAUCUAUAAAGCUGGUCACAGUUCGGAUUGGAGUCUGCAACUCGACUCUAUGAAGCUGGAAUCGCUAGUAAUCGGAUAUCAGCCAUGAUCCGGUGAAUACGUUCCCGGGCCUUGUACACACCGCCCGUCAAGCCAUGGAAGCUGGGGGUACCUGAAGUCGGUGACCGCAAGGAGCUGCCUAGGGUAAAACUAGUAACUGGGGCUAAGUCGUAACAAGGUAAGCGUAGUGCU
rnacentral:rRNA from 1 species